CUAGAGGAGUUGGAUGGGGUAGGAGAUGAGAGGCAGGUUCAAGAAGGAGGACAUAUGUUUACCUAUGGCUGAUUGAUGUUGAUGUAUGGCAGAAACCAACACUGUAUUGCAAAGAAAUUACCCUCCAAUUAAAAAUAAUUAAAUCUGAAUUUAAA